rnacentral:rRNA from 1 species
GACGAACGCUGGCGGCGUGCUUAACACAUGCAAGUCGAACGGAAAGGCCCUGCUUGCAGGGUGCUCGAGUGGCGAACGGGUGAGUAACACGUGGGUGAUCUGCCCCUUACUUUGGGAUAAGCCUGGGAAACUGGGUCUAAUACUGGAUAGGACCAUGCUGUAGGUGGUGUGGUGGAAAGAUUAGUUUCGGUAAGGGAUGAGCUCGCGGCCUAUCAGCUUGUUGGUGGGGUAAUGGCCUACCAAGGCGUCGACGGGUAGCCGGCCUGAGAGGGUGGACGGCCACAUUGGGACUGAGAUACGGCCCAGACUCCUACGGGAGGCAGCAGUGGGGAAGAUUGCACAAUGGGCGCAAGCCUGAUGCAGCGACGCCGCGUGGGGGAUGACGGCCUUCGGGUUGUAAACUCCUUUCAGCCAUGACGAAGCCCUUGUGGUGACGGUAGUGGUAGAAGAAGCACCGGCUAACUACGUG